UCCUUCUAAUCUAAAAUAGGAAUCGCCAACCUUUUACAAUUGGUCUUCAAGCAGUGAAGAACCGGAGUCCGAGUACACUAAUAAUCCAUAUGAUCUUUCUAUUCCUAAUCUAAGCCUUGACGUUACAGAACCGGACAUCUACAAAUUUUUUGAAGGCAUUGCUAAGCCUGAGGUCAGGAUUCAACGAGGAAAAUUCAAGGAUGGUAGCUUACGUGAUUGUAUGCAAGGCAUGUUUACAUUCUCUUCUCUUAAACAAACACAGGAGGCUUUUAAAUUGAAAGGCGAAGAUCUUCUUGGCAUUCCAGCCUAUCUACAUCGUUAUCCUAACGGCUUUGUGACAGUUUGCAUAACUGGAUUUGAUCCCCAAAUUUCUGAACAAGAAUUAUGUGCUCAGAUUGGUCAGAAACUCGGACGAUGUGGCAGUAUUGUGAAAUCAUUUUGUCCUAGAUCGACGUCAACAAAUUCUUUAUUAGGGUAAAUAGUUUCCGCCAUUUGAUUUUUGUUUUUUUCCACAUUUCGUUAAGGCUGCAGCCUUCGAAGCCGUCAACGAAGAGUGGAGUGAUUUCAAAUAAUUGAAAGAAGCAAAGAGGCAAGAGAAGGCAAACAAGUUGAUGAAAGAAAAAACUGUAGCUAAGAAGAUGAAAAUGUUUAUGAACCUAAAUGAGAAGGAGCAUCUCGAUGAUUAGAGCAAAAAUUUGUUUAAAAAGUUGAGUUACGAUCUAUUUGGAAUUUAGUAGUUGUCAAAUUGAGUCACGAUUUAUUUUGUUUUAAUGUUUAUUUGUUAUUUUCCGCUUUAA